GCUUGGGACAUUUGUAUUUAAGUGCUGGCCUGCGGAGCCGGGGGGUCCCGGGUUCAAAUCCCGGCCCAGGCC
rnacentral:tRNA from 1 species